rnacentral:rRNA from 1 species
AUUGAACGCUGGCGGCAGGCCUAACACAUGCAAGUCGAACGAGUGGCGGACGGGUGAGUAAUGUCUGGGAAACUGCCCGAUGGAUGGGGAUAACUACUGGAAACGGUAGCUAUUACCGCAUACCAUCGGAUGUGCCCAGAUGGGAUUAGCUAGUAGGUGGGGUAACGGCUCACCUAGGCGACGAUCCCUAGCUGGUCUGAGAGGAUGACCAGCAACGCUGAAACAGAGACACGGUCCAGAAUCCUACGGGAGGCAGCAGUGGGGAAUAUUGCACAAUGGGCGCAAGCCUGAUGCAGCCAUGCCACGUGAAUGAAGAAGGCCUUCGGGUUGUAAAGUACUUUCAGCGAGGAGGCGUUACUCGCAGAAGAAGCACCGGCUAACUCCGUGCCAGCAGCCGCGGUAAUUC